rnacentral:rRNA from 1 species
UAGAGUUUGAUCAUGGCUCAGGAUGAACGCUAGCUACAGGCUUAACACAUGCAAGUCGAGGGGCAGCAUGGUCCUAGCUUGCUAAGGCCGAUGGCGACCGGCGCACGGGUGAGUAACGCGUAUCCAACCUGCCUUACACUCUUGGACAGCCUUCUGAAAGGGAGAUUAAUACAAGAUGUUAUCAUGAGUAAGCAUUUUCGCAUGAUUAAAGGUUUACCGGUGUAAGAUGGGGAUGCGUUCCAUUAGAUAGUAGGCGGGGUAACGGCCCACCUAGUCUUCGAUGGAUAGGGGUUCUGAGAGGAAGGUCCCCCACAUUGGAACUGAGACACGGUCCAAACUCCUACGGGAGGCAGCAGUGAGGAAUAUUGGUCAAUGGACGAGAGUCUGAACCAGCCAAGUAGCGUGAAGGAUGAAGGUUCUAUGGAUUGUAAACUUCUUUUAUACGGGAAUAAACGGAUCCACGUGUGGAUUUUUGCAUGUACCGUAUGAAUAAGGAUCGGCUAACUCCGUGCCAGCAGCCGCGGUAAUACGGAGGAUCCGAGCGUUAUCCGGAUUUAUUGGGUUUAAAGGGAGCGUAGAUGGGUUGUUAAGUCAGUUGUGAAAGUUUGCGGCUCAACCGUAAAAUUGCAAUUGAUACUGGCAGUCUUGAGUACAGUUGAGGUAGGCGGAAUUCGUGGUGUAGCGGUGAAAUGCUUAGAUAUCACGAAGAACUCCGAUUGCGAAGGCAGCUUACUAACCUGUAACUGACAUUGAUGCUCGAAAGUGUGGGUAUCAAACAGGAUUAGAUACCCUGGUAGUCCACACGGUAAACGAUGAAUACUCGCUGUAGGCGAUAUACAGUCUGCGGCCAAGCGAAAGCAUUAAGUAUUCCACCUGGGGAGUACGCCGGCAACGGUGAAACUCAAAGGAAUUGACGGGGGCCCGCACAAGCGGAGGAACAUGUGGUUUAAUUCGAUGAUACGCGAGGAACCUUACCCGGGCUUAAAUUGCAACCGAAUAUGGCGGAAACGCUAUAGCUAGCAAUAGCGGUUGUGAAGGUGCUGCAUGGUUGUCGUCAGCUCGUGCCGUGAGGUGUCGGCUUAAGUGCCAUAACGAGCGCAACCCUUGCCGAUAGUUACUAACAGGUCAUGCUGAGGACUCUGUCGGGACUGCCAUCGUAAGAUGUGAGGAAGGUGGGGAUGACGUCAAAUCAGCACGGCCCUUACGUCCGGGGCUACACACGUGUUACAAUGGGGGGGUACAGAGGGCUGCUACCACGCAAGUGGAUGCCAAUCCCAAAAACCUCUCUCAGUUCGGAUUGAAGUCUGCAACCCGACUUCAUGAAGCUGGAUUCGCUAGUAAUCGCGCAUCAGCCACGGCGCGGUGAAUACGUUCCCGGGCCUUGUACACACCGCCCGUCAAGCCAUGGGAGCCGGGGGUACCUGAAGUGCGUAACCGCAAGGAGCGCCCUAGGGUAAAACUGGUGACUGGGGCUAAGUCGUAACAAGGUAGCCGUA